GACGAACGCUGGCGGCGUGCUUAACACAUGCAAGUCGAACGGAAAGGCCCUGCUUGCGGGCUCCUCGAGUGGCGAACGGGUGAGUAACACGUGGGUGAUCUGCCCUGCACUUCGGGAUGAGCCUGGGAAACUGGGUCUAAUACCGGACAGAAGCCAUUUUUCGUUUGAUGGUUGUAACGUUUUUUCGGUGUAGGAUGAGCUCGCGGCCUAUCAGCUUGUUGGUGGGGUAAUUGCAUACCAAGGCGGCGACGGGUAGCCGGCCCGAGAGGGUGGCCGGCGACAUUGGGACUGAGAUACGGCCCAGACGCCUACGGGAGGCAGCAGUGGGGAAUAUUGCAAAAUGGGCGCGAGCCUGAUGCAGCGACGCCGCGUGGGGGAUGACGGCCUUCGGGUUGUAAACGCCUGUCGCUAUGGACGAAGCUUUUUGUGGCGGUACCUAGAUAAGAAGCACCGGCUAACUACGUG
rnacentral:rRNA from 1 species